UCCCCCCUGUCCAGCUGAGGAGGGGGAGUGAUAGAACGGAUUUGGUGGGCACCUGGCGCCCAACCAGGGUCAACCUACCACAAUAAUGCAUGGAGCACUAGAAGUGGAGAUUUAACUCGGUAGUGUAUGGUUAAGAGGUAAAAUAUGAAGAGCCUAUGUUUUGUAAAUUCUUAAAUGCUCCUGUAUUCACGAGCGAUUCCAAUCCAAAAGCCUGAAGACUCCUGCACAGCAUGUAUUGUGUUAGCAAACACAUGGCUACUUAAGAAACAGAAGUACUGACAGAUGGAAGGACUUGCCAGAAAGACACUUCUAAGAACUCUUCCUUCAGCAACAUUGAAAUCUACUCACUAUUUUAUUUAACAUCCUUUCCUGGACCAGAGCAGCGAUGCAGUACAAGAGGUGUUACCUGGGACCUCCUUCACCAACCGAGAGUCAUAACAUUUCCACUGCAUCUUUACUUUUCUGCCACAGGUUUUCCUCUAAAUCAUGUAGCUGCAAUGAGAGAAUCAAGAAAUGAAUUGGUGCAGAAACUUCAUUUUUCAAGACACGCCUGCAAAGGAAAUGGUUACUGUUAAGGAAACAUCAUGAAAAGCAUUCUGUAUGUUCAACAGUUUCUUGAUAUAUCCCUCUCAG